GAGGGGCGGACGACUACUUUUGUCUUUCUUUCUUUAGACUAAAAAAGUUAUUUUCGAGACAGGAGGCGGCAGGAGAGAGGAAGAGACGAGCGAUGGCGGCCUGGUCACAUCGCUCGGACCUCCCCAGCUGCCUCCGCCUCCAGCUCCGCAGCAUUCGAAGAUCUCAAUAGCUGCAUUUCCAGCUCCGAGAGGCGAAGAGAUGCAAGCGCCGUGCAGCACCCUUUAUAGUGCCACGAAAAGGAAGUGGCGUAGCUGGAGCGUGAUGGCCGACUCCAGCCAAUCCGAAUAUCGCACCAUUGUGACGCAAGCCGGUUCGGAGCCGAAAGGGGCGGGAAAAGAGUUCAGGAGGCGGGUCCAGAGAUAGGGAAGAGAGGGAGGAGCUGACGUAAUCCGCUUGUAAACAAAUAAACCCGGAGUGGCGGCUGGAGACCCAGUUGCUUGUGUCGAGGGAGGGAGGGAGGGAACAGAGGGUGCGCGUGUGAAAGCUCCGCCCCCAGCCCUAGCUCCUCCUUCCCGCUUCAGCAGGUCCAGGCUCUGCGCCAGUGCAUCCUUCUCCAAGAGUGCGCUGCCUGGGCCCGCUUGCCCUGGAGUGUAAGUGCUGGGUAAAUAAGAACCGCCUGGCGCAGGCUGUGUCUACUCUUCACGCCGCCUUCUCAGAUCGGGCUGCAUGUCCCCACUCCGUGUUUACAUCUCGUUCCCGCUCCGGGUCUCGUAACUUCAGCAGUCAACGGAGAGAAGAGUGGAAACCUUACUGGAUGCGGACAGGAGAGCCAGUUACUGAAAGCAGAUAUAACGCGGAUCCUGUAAAGAGUGGUGUGUAUCCAAAAAAAAAAAAUCUGUACAAUGUAUUUUAAAACUUGUGUGCACAAAACUGAAGAUUUUCUUUUUUACCUAGUCCAAAUGCCGUCCUAGCCUGAGUCCUGCUCUUUAUAAAAAUAAAAUAAAAAGAAUUUGAAGCUUGUGAAAGUAUUAAGUGUAGACAUUCAAGUUUAUUUGAAACCCUACCAAAAAAAAAAAAAAACAACCUUAAAAACCAGUGUAACAGGAAGGCGGGAGCCUGCUAAAACGAUUAGGCCUAAGACAGGGUUAACCCCAACUCCAUUAAGGAGAAGGGGGAAAAGAAAAA
rnacentral:lncRNA from 1 species